UAAAAUGAUUUUGUACUCCGGUAUCCA
rnacentral:piRNA from 1 species